ensembl:processed_transcript AV026068 expressed sequence AV026068
CACUCAUAACCAUAAGAUAAUUAAAACGGGGGGGGGGCAGGGUAAAAAAAACCCCUUUUAUCAGCCAUAGGUUAAUGCAAGUGUUUAACAGAUGCUUCGCUAUUAAAAUAUUUCCCCCCAAUACUGAAGAAUCUUAAACCAGCAACCCUAACAGAGAUUGUGAAGAUUUUCAAAGUGGGGCACCUCGAUUUCUCGAAUCUGUGGUGUGGCGAAUAUCCGUGUUCCUCCUGCUUAACUAGCCUGUUUGGCAGGUCUGAUUCUAUUUAUUCUAAAGACAGAGUUGGAGAUGGGCUACCAUUGGUGUUGAUUGAGAUGACAAGCAGUCACCUGAGCCCAUACAGCUGGGUUCACAGAUGUGGCUACUCUUGCUAGCCAGCUCGCACUGUGGAAAUUCUAGGGAACUGACUGCAGUCCUCAUGCUUGGAGUCAAACACUUUAACCACUGCACACGUUUAUGUAAUAGGAUUGACAUAUGAGAAUCAGAGAAAUGAAUGAAAGAUUAGAGGUAAGCAAGAGC